UCUCUGCCUCAGUGUUUGAACUGAAUAAAUAUCUCCUACCCUUGGCACUUCUGGUCUCAGUUUUCAGAUCUAGGCAAGAAUCUACACCAUCAGCUGUCCGACUCUCACCACCUGCCUUCCUGGGUCUCCAGCUUGCAGAAGGCAGAUCAUGUGACUUCCCAGUCUUCAUAAUCAGAGUUCAUCAAAAAAUAAGUCUGCAAGUUUCAGAAGAUGAGACCUCACUGUGACAACAGAAUCAUACCACACAUGUCAUGCAUUGUUUCCUCGAUGACCCUCUUGUACAACCUCGCACUGGGGAACCAGUCUACAACCUGUGAGGACCAGGAUGUAAGAGAGUCUGCAGCUGGCCCCAUGGAGUCUGCAUGCGAUCAGGAAGUGUUACAUGGAGUUCCUCUUUCACCGAUUAACUUCCCUAAACUUCCAUUAAAAAUCUCGGGGCCAGGGGCACCUGGGUGGCUCAGUGGGUUAAGCCUCUGCCUUCAGCUCAGAUCAUGAUCGCAGGGUCCUGGGAUCAAACCCUGCAUCUGGCUCUCUGCUCAGCAGGGAGCUUGCUUCUCUCUCUCUCUCUCUCUCUCUCUCUCUCUCUCUGCCUACUUGUGAUCUCUCCCUCUCUGUCAAAUAAGUAAAUAAAUCUUAAAAAAAAAAAAAAAAAUCUCUGGGCCAGGCAGAACCCUCAGAGUUGGUUUUUGGAGAAGAGUCCUCCUUCUCCCUAGGUGGCCAGCCUCCUGAAUAAAGCUCAUAUUCCUUCCCAAUCACAACUUGUGCUCUUGAAUAUUGGCUUUUCCAGAGUGUGGCAGCUGAAUUUGGGUUUUUCAAUAACACUGAGACGCUUUAAAGUUUUCAUCACGGACUCCAUGAUGAAAUCCCAUUCGGGAUGCCUGGGUGGCUCAGUUGGUAAAGCGUCUGUCCCUCUUCUCCCUCUCCCUCUGCCUGCUGCUCCUUAGGCACAUGCGCUCCCUCUCCCUCUCUCUGUCAAAUA